CCCCCCGUGCCCACCUGGCUGUGCAGGCGGUAGGACAUGAGCUCGAAGUCUCCGUCGGGGGGGAUGAAGGAGAUGGUGCGGUCGUUGUCGAAGCGGGACAGACGGACGCACUGGUGGAACUUCACAUCCUCCAGCUCCACCGAUUUGUUCUUCCCCCCUGCAGGGAGGAGGGGAGAUGAGGAGGGGAAAUUGGGGAGGGGGCCGAGACCCCCGUCCCGGCACUCACGGCCCGUCAGCUCGAACAGGACGCGGUCGUUGAGGCCCAGGCGCAGCUCCGGCAUCCCCGACAGGAAAACCUUCAGCUUGAUGGUGCCCAGCACCUCGCUCUGCACCACGCUGCCGUUAGCGCUCACCUGUGGGCACAGCGGGGCUCGGACUGCUGCCUUCCUCGGCUGGUUCUCAUCCUCAUCCUCAGCCCCUUCCUCGUCCUCAUCCUCGUCCUCAGCCUCUUCCUCAUCCUCAUCCUCAUCCUCGUCUGGUUCUCAUCCUCAGCCCUGUUCUCAGCCCCUUCCUCGGCUGGUUCUCAUCCUCAUCCUCGUCCUCAUCCUCAGCCUCAUCCUCAGCCCCUUCCUCGUCUGGUUCUCAUCCUCAUCCUCAGCCUCAGCCCCUUCCUCGUCUGGUUCUCAUCCUCGUCCUCGUCCUCAGCCUCAGCCUCAUCCUCAGCCUCAGCCUCGUCUGGUUCUCAUCCUCAUCCUCAGCCUCUUCCUCAGCCUCGUCUGGUUCUCAUCCUCAGCCCUGUUCUCAGCCCCUUCCUCGUCUGGUUCUCAUCCUCAUCCUCGUCCUCAUCCUCAGCCUCAUCCUCAGCCUCAUCCUCAUCCUCAGCCUCGUCUGGUUCUCAGCCUCAGCCUCAGCCCCUUCCUCGUCUGGUUCUCAGCCUCAGCCUCAGCCUCUUCCUCAUCCUCGUCCUCGUCCUCAGCCCCUUCCUCGUCUGGUUCUCAUCCUCAUCCUCGUCCUCAGCCUCAUCCGUGUUCUCAUCCUCAGCCUCAGCCCCUUCCUCGUCUGGUUCUCAUCCUCAUCCUCAGCCUCAGCCUCGUCUGGUUCUCAUCCUCAUCCUCAGCCUCAUCCUUGUCUUCAGCCCCUUCCUCGUCUGGUUCUCAUCCUCAUCCUCAGCCCCUUCCUCAUCCUCAGCCUCAGCCCCUUCCUCGUCUGGUUCUCAUCCUCAUCCUCAUCCUCGUCCUCAGCCUUGUCUUCAGCCCCUUCCUCAUCCUCAGCCUCAUUCUCAUCCUCAGCCUCAGCCCCUUCCUCAUCCUCAGCCCUAUUCUCAUCCUCAUCCGUGUUCUCAUUCCCAUCCUCAUCCUCAUCCUCAGCCCCGUUCUCAUCCUCAUCCUCAGCCUCAUCCGUGUUCUCGUCCUCAUCCUCAUCCAUGUUCUCAUUCCCAUCCUCAUCCUCAGCCUCAUCCAUGUUCUCAUUCUCAGCCUCAUCCUCAGCCUCAUCCUCAUCCUCAGCCCCUUCCUCAUCCUCGUCCUUGUCCUCAGCCCUGUUCUCAGCCUCAUCCUCAUCUUCGUUC
rnacentral:lncRNA from 1 species